UCAAAAGAAACAGAAGGCAAAUCAGAGGAACAAAUUCUUUAUAUAGAUACAUGAUUUUUACAUUAAAAUUAAAAUCUAUCAAAGAAUUACUCUGUUUCUAUUGCGGCCUUUUUUUAGUAUAAAACUUUAGCAUGUCCUCCCUUUCCAAUAAGCACCUUUUCACCAUCAUAAUAUAUCAAGUUCAGUUAACCACACAUUUUUUACUGAAUAUGUACCUCAUUUGAAGUCUGUUUGAAGUAGCCUCUGCAUGUGUAAAGCACCUAUUUUUCAACCCCUUCUCGGAGUUUCAUUUUUUGUUUUAUAUCUACUGUUUAAUACGACAAAUGCUCCAAAAAUGUUUAUAAAACAUUUUCUUACUUUUCUCUCUCUAAAAAUGUUUAAGGAGAAGGUUCAAGUUUCUUUUUGCACUAAAGAUCAUUAUGGGAUGGGCUCCUAAUAGGCCCAACCUAGAGAAAAAUCUGAGUUAUUGUUUGGUCAAAGAGGUUUACACAGAAGCCAGCUAUGAAUUACUUCUAACGAGAAGAGCAAGGCUCCUGUUUUCGCUUGUCAUUUAUCUUCUCUUGCCUUACUCUUUUCUCCUAUUUUGCUUUUUCUUAUCUCUCUUUCAAAAUUUUUCUCUCCCUCUUGAUGCAAAGCUAUAUUUUCCUUUCCUUUUCUGUGCAUUUUCCCAUCCUAUUUCCCUUCUUUCUGCCUCUACAUUAAGAGAGCACAAAUCAUUUACAGCUUGGUCCACUCAGCCUGAAUCUUUUCCACUUUGAUUCACAAACUUCUAUUUCUUCUCCUUUGAACCCCUGAUUUGCUCCCUAUGUCCCUCAUGGAGCGUGUAGCCCACCCAAAGCUUGACCCGGGGAUAAGGCCAGGAAGCACCAGCUACUUGACAGUAAAGUUGCUGGUCCUACGUGUGGGCUCUAGGGGGCGAUGCAGUGUAAGGUCCUGGUACAGGAGGAGCGGCAGUCUUGCUCCCCACAGAGCUUUGAGGAGCUGGACCGGAAGUGUGCUCCACAGAGAGAAGAUACCGGUGCCGGGAAGCACCAGUGCCCUGAGGAAGGGCCAUUUCUAGAAGCCUCGUGCUGACACAAGGGUGCUGGUUCCUCUUCAAGAGCCCACUCUCUGGGGUGGGGCAGUAUCUCCAGCAGAGGUGGACUGGAAAGGACCCCCCCACCCCGCCCGCCGUAAGCUUAGCUGGAGCCAUGGCCUCUGCACGCAUCUUGACGCUUGCGAUGCUCUUCACAUUGAGUGGGCUGAGAGCUCAGUUGGUGACUCAGCCAGAAGAUCAGGUCACGGUCGCCGAAGGGAAUCCUCUGACUGGGAAAUGCACCUAUUCAGUCUCUGGAAACCCUUAUCUUUUUUGGUAUGUUCAAUACCCCAACCAAGGCCUCCAGUUCCUUCUGAAAUACAUCACAGGGGACAACCUGGUUAAAGGCAACUAUGGCUUUGAAGCUGAAUUUAACAAGAGCCAAACCUCUUUCCACCUGAAGAAACCAUCUGUCCUUGUGAGCGACUCUGCUUUGUACUUCUGUGCUGUGAGAGACACACUGAUAGGGGCUGCAGGGGGAGCAGAACACAAACUUUGAGUCUAGUAAAACCCAUUUUCUUGAAGCCUUUGUUCCUCACGAGAGUGGUGUGGUUCCAGGAUAUGUCACUUAUUAUAGUUAAACUACAAUUUAAAACCAUAGAAUUUGCUCAUUCAGCAAGUGUUUAUUGAGUCCUGAUGUGCCAGGUACUGGGCUAAGCACCGGUCAUAAAAAGGUGAAAGAAGUGUAAAACAAAUAGAAAAAAACAUAGGGGAAAAUUACCAUGACAUUGAUCU